GACGAACGCUGGCGGCAUGCCUAACACAUGCAAGUCGAACGAGACGUUCGGGUCUUUGGGCGCACGGCUGCGUAAGGCGUGGGAAGCUGCACUUGGGUUCGGAAUACCUCCCCGAAGGGGAUCCUAAUGACAGAUAGUCUCUUAGCGCCAAAGAUCUCUUGCCUUUGGCUGGGGCCUGGUUGGAUUCGGUAGUUGGUAGGGUAAAAGCCUACCAAGGGCUCGAUGCAUAGCUGGUCUGUGAGGAUGAUCAGCUACACUAGGACUGAGACACGGCCCAGACUCCUACGGGAGGGAGGAGUGGGGAAUAUUGGACAAUGGGGGAAGGGCUGAUCCAGCAAGGCCCGGGAAGUGAUGAUGGCCUUAGGGUUCUAAAGUUGUCUUAACCGGGACGAUAAUGACAGUACCGGGUGAAUAAGCUCCGGCUAACUACGUG
rnacentral:rRNA from 1 species